UACGUAGGGUGCAAGCGUUAAUCGGAAUUACUGGGCGAAAGCGUGCGCAGGCGGUGAUGUAAGACAGAUGUGAAAUCCCCGGGCUCAACUUGGGAACUGCAUUUGUGACUGCAUCGCUGGAGUGCGGCAGAGGGGGAUGGAAUUCCGCGUGUAGCAGUGAAAUGCGUAGAUAUGCGGAGGAACACCGAUGGCGAAGGCAAUCCCCUGGGCCUGCACUGACGCUCAUGCACGAAAGCGUGGGGAGCAAACAGG
rnacentral:rRNA from 1 species